rnacentral:rRNA from 1 species
UUUACAACUCCCAAACCCCUGUGAACAUACCACUUGUUGCCUCGGCGGAUCAGCCCGCUCCCGGUAAAACGGGACGGCCCGCCAGAGGACCCCUAAACUCUGUUUCUAUAUGUAACUUCUGAGUAAAACCAUAAAUAAAUCAAAACUUUCAACAACGGAUCUCUUGGUUCUGGCAUCGAUGAAGAACGCAGCAAAAUGCGAUAAGUAAUGUGAAUUGCAGAAUUCAGUGAAUCAUCGAAUCUUUGAACGCACAUUGCGCCCGCCAGUAUUCUGGCGGGCAUGCCUGUUCGAGCGUCAUUUCAACCCUCAAGCACAGCUUGGUGUUGGGACUCGCGUUAAUUCGCGUUCCUCAAAUUGAUUGGCGGUCACGUCGAGCUUCCAUAGCGUAGUAGUAAAACCCUCGUUACUGGUAAUCGUCGCGGCCACGCCGUUAAACCCCAACUUCUGAAUGUUGACCUCGGAUCAGGUAGGAAUACCCGCUGAACUUAAGCAUAUCAAU